UCAUGCCUCCAUUUCCGACUCUCUCCGAGAGGGAGAGGAAGCGGAGAUGGUGGACGCAAAAGGGAAGGGCAAGGAGAUUGCCGUCCGGCAAUAGGAAGUCCUCACGCCCUCCCGACGACCAAGCAUUUGGCUCUCAAAAACACAGGCAAUCCGGGGCGCUGCAAUUCUUCGAUCACAUUGCCAACGAUACGAAGAUUAUGAUAGCAAUUCUGGUAAAAUCUACUGUUGUUCUUGUCAUUUAUACAUGUAAUGGGAGAAACCCUAGUUGCUUUGUGGUUCUAGUUUGAUGAACGUGGUGCUGCAUUUAGCUUAUUUUCAUUUUUGGUGUGUGGGUCUGCUUUUCUCUUUGCGGAACUAAUGGGUAAUGCUUUUAUUGUUAUGUCGUUGGUGCUAUGAGAGGUUAGAAGCGAUAGAAGCGACUCAUUGUUCGUUUCUUUCUGCAUGUCCUAUUCGUUUUGGAUAAGCAGCCGUUUAUUUAGCGCCAGGGGGUGGCAUUGGAGGUUUCCCGUUCAUAGAUACCGAAGUGGGUGACACUUCUACUUGAUAUACAGAUUCUGUUUACGGUUAGGGUUCUAGUUUCAUGGUUACUUUUGCUUCAAAGAAAGCUGGAAUUCACUACAACUGCCGUCUAGUUGGUGGAAACUCUGAAGUGUAGAUGGAGGUCCUGCCACGUGUUCCUGUUAGGGCUUUCAAGUAGAAGUGUGCUUUUCUCUGUACUAGAUGGGGAAAUGGGAAGAGAGCUUCAUUAAUUCGUCGCUUAACGUAAGCCAACAACUGGAAAUGGUUUCACGCGGUCUGCCAUGGUUAAUGUGUACCUUCUAACCAUAUGGGAUCAAUGGGAAUGAUCAGUUUGCAGAAUGGGCUAAUCUUCAUAAAAUGAUCAGUUUGAUAUGGUAGAUCCGUAACUUAGCUUCUUAGCAGGGAAGAGGCUUCAUGCAAAUGAAUAAUCUCAGAGGAAUGGGAGGCGGUUAUGGAACACACAGUUAAGCUCGUUCGCUUUCUUGACCUUUCAUUUUUCAAACAGCAUCAUUCCUGAUUAUUCUUUUCUUGCUUUUACUGAGAUUUUCUUUUUGAAGCUCUUGUGCUGUUAGAUUUUUGAGGACUUCAUGCCUGAAGGCCAUGUUGAUUUAAAGCAGUUGAAGCAGAACAAAGAGUGGAAACACAGUUAAAAUACAUAAGCUGAACAUUUUUUGUGUAAACUGUGCUUGUAAAUUUAUCUUAAGAUUAAUUUAGUGCGAAGGCAUUUUAAGUUGGUAAUUUUCAACUUUAAAUGUGUUUUCUGAGUUAUAAAAAACCAAUGGCUCUUAUAACACCAGUAAAUGAUGGUAAAAAUUUUUCAAUAAAAUCAAUUUUAACUAAAAUAUGUUUUCUAAUAGAUAAGCCAUGAUAAACACAUUCACAUAUCCAAAUUGAAUUAAAGAUAAGUUUAAGUAUAUAACUUGGGCUGCCUGUUUUUUGUCGCUGAUCUAAUUUGUUUGAGAGGUACCAAUUAUAUAUGUAUUUAUGUAUGUGUGUGUGUGUUCUAGAAUAUGAUUACACCCUAUUAGUGCUAAUUAUGCACUAACUUGGAUAUACUUAGAAGGAAAUGUCAACUCAAUUGGAAAUUGCAAACCCAUAAAAGUGAAUAACUAGUCAAUUUUUUGCAAAGCUAGUUUUGGUCUGCUUGUUUGUAUGCCUCCCUAUGAUAUCAAUCAGAUGUUGCUUCAUAGUCGAGAUCAUAGUCACAAAUAACAUCUUAGAGUUCUAACGGCGAGUUUUUUCUUGGGUAUAAUACGGUGGGCUUGAAAAAUACUGGAACAAAUGGUAUUUUUUAAAUUAAAACAAUUAAAAAUAGGAAAAAAUAAAAUAAGUGAGAAAUAAUGCCACAAACAUCAAAAGAUAAGUAGAUUUGCAACAAAUAAAAAAUAGAAAAUGAAAAAAAAAACUGUGACAUUAAAAAAUGAAAAAAUGAAAAAAAAGAGUAAAGAAUGCGUUUUAUUUUCUUGGCAUUUUAUUUAAAAGACAUUUUAUUUUCUCACAUUAUGAUAUGAAGUUAUGAACAACAACAAAAAGAUCAUUGUUCAUUCUUGAAAGUUGAAACAAACAAUGGAACAUAUAAACAGAUACAGGACACAAUGAGUUACCAAAAAAUAUGUUAUCCCUAUGAGAAUCUUGAUCUCUACAAGCAAACGCACUCUGGAAAAAAUCAAUUACUUCAUGAGAAUUAGACGCCCAACCUUUGCAGUGCUUUGACAACACAUAGCUCUCUUCACUUACUGAUGAAUGUGGGUCACCUUUAGCAUUUUGAAUAUCAACUUACAGUCUGCACUUUCACUGUCAUUCUGAAGACUAAUUUCUGUCACUGGGAUGGACUUCACUAUAAUUUUACCACUGCGUAAUCUGCAAAAAUUUCCAUUUUCCUCAUCUCCCUUAACAUAAUUGCCUCCAGGGUCCAUGUUCCCGUGACCGACAUUUGCAAAGAGAAAAUAACGUGUUUUUUGUGACUAUGGUCCAAAGUGCUAGUGGCAGCUAGGUAUGUGCAAAACAGUAAAUGAUAGGGGAGAAGGACAGGAGGAGGACUAAGGAUAAGAAGAAAAACGUAAUAAAAUUUUAAAAUAAAAGUAGAAAAAGGAGGAAAAAGAACAAACUUUACGGCAUUGCCUAGGUGGCCCAGACUAGUUGGAAAUGUGGCUACCUAGUGCCCAAGCAGGUGGCACAACACACUUUUGAUUGUUGUGCAUGUGUGUGUGUGUGUGUGUGUGAGAGGGAGAGAGAGAGUGCCACCCACCAUGCAUCCCUUCUUGAGCAAAGGGAACAGACACAGCUCUCUCACUCCCUAUCUCGUGCACACACACACACACAUGUGUUUGUCUAUGUUAUCCGUUUUCCAUUGCUAUGAGCUUUUAAUCACAUUUCAUUAGAAGAUGGGAUGUUAGCUUGUCUCCAAUUGCUGGUAUAGGUCAAUCUUCUCACAUGAUCAGAGAUGGGUGUAAUGAAAGUGUUGCUUAUGAUGAAGUGAAGAGUGCAAAUGUCGGUCACGGGAACAUGGCCCCUGCAGGCAGUUAUGUUAAGGGAGAUGAGGAAAAUGGAAAUUUUUGCAGAUUACGCAGUGGUAAAAUUAUAAUGAAGUCCAUCCCAGUGACAGAAAAUAGUCUUUAGAAUGACAGUGAAAGUGCAGAACUGUAAGCUGGUAUUCAUAAUGCUAAAGGUGACCCACAUCCAUCAGUAAGUGAAGAGAGCUAUGUGUUGUCAGAACACUGCAAAGGUUGGGCGUCUAUUCUCAGGAAGUUAUUGAUUUCUCCCAGAGUGUGUUUGCUUGUAGAGAUCAAGACUCUCAUAGGGAUAACAUAUUUUUUGGUAACUCAUUGUGUACAACAUAUGUUUAUAGGUUCCACUAUUUGUUUCAACUUUCAAGAAUGAACAUUGAUUUUUUUUAUGUUGUUCAGAUCAUAAGCUUCCACGAAUCCAUCUUCAAAUGGCUCUCCCCUGUGAGAAUGAUAAAAUACCAAGCAUAGGCAUCAUGGAAAGUCCUGAGAGAAAUUCACUUGUUGAUGAGGCACAAUAUGAUGAUGCAGUCCUUUCAAAUUCUACUGGUGCGGAAGCUAAAAAUUCUGGUGAGAGGUCCCAAAUUGUUGCUGCUGAUUCACAUAGUUCCCAGACGAAUAAGAACUUAUUAGACUCUCAUACUUCAAAGGGAGGCUUAGAUGCCAUGCUGAGUCCUCAGAGGGAUUCAACUCAGGCAGAUUUGCAGUUAUAUGAUGGUAAUAACUUGCAAGAAUCUACUCUAAGACAUAGUUGCAAAAGUUGUGAUGUCCUUACUGUUAGAGUAUUCUCUGAUACUAUAAGCCUGAAGAAAGACUUCCCAGAAACUGGGCAUUCGGGCGAGAAAUCCCACAUUGCGGCUGCUAGUCUUGGUACGUGUUUUUCUAUUUGGCAACAAGAGAGAUAGAUGUGAAGAGACAUUGGAGAGCUGUGGCAAUGAUAACGCUAUUUGUGGAAUUGAGAGCUCGAAGAAGUCCAGGUAUUGGCAGUAGCAAUUGCUCGUCAGUUUUUCUUUUUUGAGUUUUGUCCUUAUCCGUUCAAUGAUUUUUAAAAUCUGUGCUUUUAAAUCUGAAAAUAGAAACCUUGCCGGGAGAAGCUGGAGUCUGUUCCAUGUUGGACUAUGAUAAAUGACAUAUUUAUGCAUGCUUCCGCCAUUAAAAUUGUUGGAUGAGUUGUUAGUUUCAAAUAUAAAGUGGAACUUGGAUUUUUUAUGCUUUUACAAAUGCAUGUUUGUACCAAAUUGUGAAAAUUUUUGAACUUCUCAAAAACUUCAGAUUUGUAUCUUAGGAAAUAUAUCUAACAAUACCUAGUGAAAUCAUAAACAAAUAUCACAUAAUAUGAUAGCCUCCUUUUGAAAUGAUAGGAGAUGGUCCCCAUACAUAGGAAUGAACAAGCUCAAAAGGAACUUCUCUGUCCAAAAGAUAAUAAUUUCAUUUUUUCAUGUAUGCAAUCAUUAUAUUUAAAGUUCUCAAUACAAAUAUCCUUGGUAGGACUUAUCAUAGACAAUUUUCUAAUGUUUGGAUGACCUAAUCUUUGGUGCCAAACAUUGAUGCCCACAUUUUCAACAUAGUGACAAAACUUUUCUUUCGGGAUACAUAAAUUGUCCAUGUAGUAAAGGUUCCCUUUUCUAAAACUUUAUUCAAUCAAUCUUCUGGUUUGGUGAUCAUACACCAAACAUUUAUUUGAUGACAAAACUAUGUCAAAACCAAGAUAUGAGAUUUGUGAUACAGAAAGUAAGUUAAGAUUAAAUCUAGGGACAUAACUUUUGAAACAAAAAAUUUUUGUUUUCCAAAUUUUUUUCAAAAUUCCCAAUCCCUUUAACACUCAAAGAUGUUCCAUCAGCGGUAACUACAAUUGAUUUCUUUUCUUGUUUGUUCAAAAUUGGUCAAAGAUGAUAUAUUUGAUGUCAUAUGAAAAGAUGCACCAGAGUUUAAAAGCCGAGAAAACAUACCAGGAGUUUUGGAGGUGGAUGCCGUUGUUGCUAGUGCUUCGGAAUUUGACUUCUUGAUCAUGGGUUGAAGGGCCGUCAUGAUUUGAUUCAACGUUGUGAAGAUUGAUGAAAGAUCACAUCUUUCAUUUGCAACAUUUGCAGCCUUUUUUUGAUCAAAUUGUCUAGUAUUGCAUUAUCCACCUUGAGGAUAUGAAAUUCCAGUUGUGUUGCCCUCCUUGAGGAUAUGAAACUCCUCUUUUGAGAAAAUUUCCUCCAUAGUUUUAUGAUUGUCCUUCAUUGUUGUUUAACUUUGGACAACUAGGUCUUAUGUGACCCGGUUCAUGACAAAAGUGGCAAACAACUUUAUAUUCUCCUUUAUUUUGAUGUUCAAAGUGAGGAGGUCUAAAAGAUUUGAUGUUGUUUUCGAGUCUAGAGGCGGCUAAGACUUUUUUUUCUUCUUGUUUUGAAAUAAGAACACUAUCCUUAUCCAUUUCUUUGGAUAAUUUCAUUCUAGUUUCUUCUCCACUUAACAUUGUAAGGUGUUCAUGGAUGGGUGGAAGAGAGGCUAAGGAAAGAAGGACUGACCUUAUUUGUACAAAUUCAGGUCGUAAUCCUUGAAGAAAUUGAAAAAGCUUAAAUUCAUCGACUUCAUUUCUUCUAAUUUCAUGGCACUUGCAAUCCAUCCCUAGUUUGGGAUUAGGUUGAUCUAACUCAUUCCACACACUAGAGAUUUUCAUAAAAUAUUCUCUCACAUUUUUCACUCAUUGUUUGAUACUUUGGGUUUUUUGAAUCAAAAAAUACUUUUGGGCCAUAUCUUUUUGGGUAAACAUUCCCUUGAAUAUUCCAAAACUUCACUAGCUUUUUUAUAAUACAUAAAAUUUUGGGCAAUCCUAGGUUCAAUACUUUCUUAUAUCCAUUCUUUAAUCCUAGAAUUCUUGGCUUCCCAAUCGUCCAAUUUUUUAGAAUAUUCAUUCAUGGCAUUUUGUCUUUCAUCCCCAUCUAAUUCUUUCUCAAUCCCAUUUUCUACUUUGGUAACUUAAGAGAAGGAGGGAUAGACGUACUUCUUAUGAAGCCCCAUAAAUAUUUUUUUUAUAUGCAUUUGCAAGCAUUUUACCCAUAGCGUGUAAUUGGUUCCAUCAAACUUAUAUGGAGCAUGAUAACUUCCUCCUUCGAUUGAAACUUUGGAGUCCUCCAUGAGAGCAAUAUUUUAAAUAAUAAUCUCCAAGAAAGUCAAGAAGAAAUCCUUUUGAAAGUUUCACCAAACAGUUGGUGAGCAGCUACAGCAAUAGUCUUCAAUAGAUGAUGAUCAGCAACAAAAAAAAUUCCUUCAACAGACCAGCAACUCAAAAUAAUAAUAACAGUCUCUAAUAAGGCUUCAAUAAGCAGCCCAAUGACUCUGAUACCAUGUAAAAGUUGACUAUAACAGUUACAAAAGAAGCAUAUAGCAAUAAAAGGCACUAAGGCGAAGUGGAGAAGAAUAAAUCUCAUUCAAUUGAAUACAUGAAGGUUGUAAAACACAGCUUACUAUUGCAAGAGACUGUUACAAAUAUUUAUACAAGAAAGAAUAAGGAGGAAGGGGCUGAACUAGCCAUUGGGCUGGUUCCAACGACUCUUAAUAGAGCCGUUGGAACUGCCAACGGCUAGCUCAGUUAAACAAAUAAAAAAAUAAAAAAUAAAAAAUAAGAAAUAAAAAUAAAACAAAAAAGGAAAAAUAAACUAAAUUCUAAGGUAAUACCUAUCUAAGAGGUAACAACUAACUUAGAAAUCCUAUUUCUUAACAAAAACACGUUGAUAGGUUCAAAAGCAGUUAAAAAUACAUCAAUCUUUGGGUCUAUAGAUGCGCUUGAAUCGACCAAGCAGGACAACCAAACAGAUGCUGUCAUGAGACCAAUGAAGUCUAAUAUACUCAUGAAGGAAAAUCAUGUCACUCCAAUGGAGUCAGAGCCAAACAGUGUUCGUGGAAUGAUUGAAACAUGGAUUUAUUCUAGAAUUGAAGAUCAGAAUGGAACAACAGCUGGUUCAUUACAGCAGAAAAGUGGUUCAACUUCUCAAAUGUCUGAUAGGUUGAGAUCAGAGCUUUGACAUGAGCAGGUGUCUUCUGUGGAUCCUGGUGAAAAGUCUGCACCUCCCGGAACAAAAAGUAAUCAUGACAAUGAAGUUAUUGAACGGGAUAUUCUUCCUCAGGCAUGAGUUUCAGUACAGCAACCACUUGAUGCCGCUUCUUCAUCAGCUGUACAGGUUCAUGUUUCCAGAAUGGAUCUUGAAAGUCCUACAUUUGCGGAAAUGGAAGGAUAUACUGAAUUGGGUUCACUUUCUCAGGAUAGAGUUUCACCCCGUCACUGGAUGCUUUCCCUUCAUCAGCUAGGCAGGUUGGUCAGACAUGCUCUGCCAGUUCUGAUGAAAGAUCUACUUCUGUAGAGGUAGCGAGGGAAUUUGAUCAUGGAAUCACUGGAUUGGAGCCUUUUCCAGAGGCUAGUGCUCCAGUACUGCAGCCACUUGAUGCUUUGCCUUCAUCGACUAAGCAAGUUGUUGAGCCAUCAUCCUGUAUGGAUUCUAGUCGAGGACUCACAUGUGCAGAAACAAUGAGAGAACAUGAUCAUGGUCUUGUUUUGGAGUCUCCUUCUCAUGCCAGGGGUCCAGUACAGCAACCACUUGGUACCUUUCAUGUAUCAGCUGAAUAGGUUCAGGUUUCGUCUGCAAAUCCUGAUGAGAGGUCCUCAUCUGCAGAAUCGACAAGAGAAAGUGGGCAUGCAGUGGCCAUGUUGGAUUCUCUUUCCUCAUAUGAGAGUUUCUCUCCAGCAACCACAUGAUGUUGAGUGUGUUGUUCCUACCGCUCUGUCUUGUUGCCUGCUACACCACUGCUGCCCCCUGUGGCUAGCCAAUCCAUUGCUUCAGCAAAUAUAAGGGGAAGAACUAUAGGUUCAGAGUCUGGUGAGCAAAACUCCAGACUGCUACUCCAAUUUUUCAUGCCCCUGUCAUGAAUUGUCUUGACCCGCUCUACCACGAGAUAGCCAGAAUGUACAAUGAAGAGGAGCAAACCAAGAAGUUCUAUGAAGACGUGGAAGUACGUCUUCCUGCAGAACGUGAUAAAAAAAUUGAUGAAGUAAAAUAGAAGUGUGCGAAGCUGCUCCAAGAUGCAGAGUCGAGAUACUCACCAACUAAAAGGACACUGGAGGAUAACAUGAUGAAGGUCAUGCUUAACCGCUUUCUUGCAGUAGCUUUCAAGUUUCUUGAUCCUAGAGCACAACAUAUGGUUGUGCAGCCAGGAAAUAUUUCCACCCUGGCACUGUUCCAGCAAUCUGGAAUCGGUCCAUUUGGUAAUGGUAGUGGACCUUCAUUGUGGCCCCUCCAAGUGUUGGAGAGUCGGAGACCUCCAGGUGCCAUGCACAAGCCUGAAUCUGAAACCUGUAAUGCCAGUGCCAUUCCAGCCAUCGGCUGCAAAUCCUGCUGUUCUUGUAUAUUUGUCUGACAUUGAUUAAUUUUCCAUUGACUAAUUUCAUGUCCAAAUGAAGGCUGACUGUUGGAGAUACCUAGCAUUCUGGUCUUUGCAUGAUUGGUCUCGUGCCAUUGAAGGAUUAGUGAGCUCUAUUGGGUGGACAGGCUAAAGCACUGAGAGGAUGAUGGCUAUGUAUAUAGUGUACAAUAUUCAAAUGUAAUUUCUUAAUGAUAUAUAGUGCAAUUUUGAUCCCUGGAGUCGAGGUUGUUGCAGCCACUGCUGUAGAAUUUCAGGAAUCAGCUAAUAGAGGACUCGUUCUUUUUCUUA